GUUGCAUACCCCCAACCACCACCACUUCUAACACAGGUACUAAUAAUUAGAAAAUACUCACUUACAGAUGCAAUAAUAGCUUUGUUAGAUUAAGGAGAAAAUGAAAGGACAUCCCAGCAGGGAAGCAUGGUCUGUGACUAAGGAGAUAUUUAUGUGGGCAAAAGCAUAUUUUAAUUAAUAAUGUUUUUUUCUGAAUAUAUCAAAUUUUCAACAUUCCCUUUAUUUGAGAAGUAACAAGAGUAUCCCACUUCCAGAAGCAUGGCCCAUGGCUAAAGCAGAAUAGAACACUGCUGCAAUUUAUUUGUUUUCUGUGCAGAUCUAUAAUCCUUCACCUUAUGCACAAGCUCUCAAUGCAUUGCUUUUACUUUUGAUUGAACUGUAAUCUGUGCACAUAAGUAUGUGUGGCUUCUUGAAUUAUCACACACUAAACAUGCCUAUGUAGCCAAAACCCAGGCAAGCAAGUAGGAUGCUUGGAGCCAUACUAUAGAGCAAAAGUCAGCAAACUUUUUCUAUAAAGGGCCAGAUUGUAAAUA
rnacentral:lncRNA from 1 species